CUGGCGGCGUGCUUAAUACAUGACAAGUACAACUUGACUUUAGAUAGCAAUAUACGAAAAGGUAGGGUGGCGCGACGGGUGCGUAACGCGUAGGUAAUCUGCCCUGAGGUCUGACAUAACCCGUCGAAAGGCGGGCUAACAUCAGAUGAUAUAUAAUCACGACAUCGUGGAAAUAUCAAAUCUUCGGAGCCUUGGGAUGAGCCUGCGUCUGAUUAGGUAGUUGGCGGAGUAAUAGCCCACCAAGCCUACGAUCAGUAGCUGGUCUGAGAGGAUGAUCAGCCACACUGGAACUGAGACACGGUCCAGACUCCUACGGGAGGCAGCAGUAAGGAAUAUUGCUCAAUGGGGGAAACCCUGAAGCAGCAACGCCGCGUGAAGGAUGAAAUACUUUUGUAUGUAAACUUCUGUAAGAUGGGAAAAAUAUUCUCCUCGGGAGAAUUGAUUGUACCAUCAGAGUAAGCCCCGGCUAACUACGUG
rnacentral:rRNA from 1 species